rnacentral:rRNA from 1 species
ACGGAGGAUCCAAGCGUUAUCCGGAAUCAUUGGGUUUAAAGGGUCCGUAGGCGGCCUUAUAAGUCAGUGGUGAAAUCUCCUAGCUCAACUAGGAAAUGGCCAUUGAUACUGUAGGGCUUGAAUUAUUGUGAAGUAACUAGAAUAUGUAGUGUAGCGGUGAAAUGCUUAGAUAUUACAUGGAAUACCAAUUGCGAAGGCAGGUUACUAACAAUAUAUUGACGCUGAUGGACGAAAGCGUGGGGAGCGAACAG